GGUACAGGAAGUGGUUCCAGGUUUGGGGGGGCUCAGGGCUGGGGCAGGGGAUUGGGCUGCGGGGUUGGGGUGCGGACUUGCCUGAGGCGGCUCCCGGUCCGCAGCGCCGCUGGGGUGCAAAGGCAGGCUUCCCACCUGUCCUGGAACCGUGGACCGCGCUGCACCGCGGAAGUGGCCAGCAGAAGGUCCGGCUCCUAGGUGGAGGCGCGCAAGUGGCUUCACGUGACUCUCGCCUGCAGGCACCGCCGUUCCCAUUGGCUGGUUCCCAGCCAAUGGGAGUGCGGAGCUGGUGCUCAGGGCAGGGGCAGCGCGCAGAGCCCCGGGGCCCCCCGUCUAGAAGCUGGACCCGCUGCUGGCUGCUUCCAGGGCACAGCGCGGUGUCGAAACAGGCGCUAGCCUCCCUCAGCUGGGCAGCUCCACCAAUGGGACUUUUAGCGUCCCGGUCAGCAGUGCUGACCAGAGCGACCCGGUGCCUGACAUGCUGCGACCCAGAGUCUGAAAAGCGCUGAUCUAGAGCACUCGCAGUCACAAAGCACGAUUAAGACCAUGUACCAUGUGAGCAAAGCUUGAAUCAUCAGCUUGCCUGUUCUCUGGCAGCAGGCUCAGCCCCCACGCUGCCGGGAACUAAGAAAGAAUUGACUGUCCAUGUGAAGGUUACAGAUGGAUGGAAUGCGUAAGGGAAUACAGUGGGAAGAAAAUGAAAUCUGAAAGAGAACAGCUAAUCCAAGGGCUGGAUGGGCACUGUUUGGGAAGUCCUCACUCUGCUUUAAGGACCAGAGCCAAUAGCCAUUGAACUCAAUGACAGGUUUCAGAGUAGCAGCCGUGUUAGUCUGUAUUCGCAAAAAGAACAGGAGUACUUGUGGCACCUUAGAGACUAACCAAUUUAUCUGAGCAUAAGCUUUCGUGAGCUACAGCUCACUUCAUCCGAAGCCAAUGCACCAGGUAUUUUCCACUGAAUGCAUCCAGUGAAGUGAGCUGUAGCUCACGAAAGCUUAUGCUCAGAUAAAUUUGUUGAACUCAAUGGGUGCCUUUCCAUUAAUGCCAAGGGGCUUUGAAUAAGGACCUCCUAUAGCGUUGUGACCAUACUUCCAUGUGUUCUCUUUCCCAGUUUAGUUUUGCUGUGCAGCUUGUAGGACAUGCCAAUUCUUUCGCCCUGUCUUUUUGCGCUGAUUAGAUUCACGGUUUCAAGGGUGAUGAUGAUUUUUGCAUACUUAAAAAAAAAAAAAAAUCAAAGCCUUUGCAAUCUCACAAUAACAUGGCUUUUGUUACACAAAAUAUGGAUUGUUUCUUUUAAGGAGUUUAGGCUGUUACGUGGAUCUAUUCCAAUACCUGUGGCUCAAGGCUUGGAGAUAGAGCCACAGAUUUUAACGUCAGAAGGGACCUCUGGCGGAACACAGGCCAAAGAACUUCAUCCCCUAACACCCUGUGAUGGUGUGCUUUAAAGCGACAUCUUCUGCAUUCUUGCUGUCAGGCUGUUCUUUAAUAUUAUUGUUUCCAAUAAAAUACUAACAGGUUGGUCUGAAAAUUGGCAAUGUAACUAAGUAGCUGCCUCUCCACUAAAGUCAAUGAAGUUACACCAGUCACAAAGAGCUAUUACUCCAGACCAGACAACUAAUAUUGGUAAUUAACACGAUAGCAUAGGCAUGGAUAUUUUGGGGGAAAAAAAUCAGAGGCUGUGCAAGAAAAAGGGCAUGGGAUAAAAAUCUCAGAUAUUGCUUUGUACUUCAGAUAGUCUCCUUUUCUAUUUGCUAUGCAAACCUGUCAUAGUGCAGCAAUAAAAGGUUCCUCUUGCAUUAGAGAAUUGAGGGCAUUCUGUCCGGUUACCCAUUAACUACUCUUCCAGCUCCACAUGAAUCGGGAUGUGGGUUCAGGGUGUUGUUGCCAGGGAGGCGGUUUGUCUUGCUGCAUACGGGACAAUGCAAACUUUUAUUAAAUGCUUUAAAAGAAAAAAAAAUACAUUAAACAUUUUACAUAAAAAUGAUCAAA